AACGCACAUUGCGCCCCUUGGUAUUCCAUGGGGCAUGCCUGUUCGAGCGUCAUUUGUACCUUCAAGCUUUGCUUGGUGUUGGGUGUUUGUCCUGCCUUUGCGUAUGGACUCGCCUUAAAUCUAUUGGCAGCCGGCAAUCUGGUGUUUGAGCGCAGCACAUUUUGCGCUCUUUACUGGUAUUGCGGCGUCCAUGAAGCCUAUAUUCUAGCGCUUGACCUCGGAUCAGGUAGGGAUACCCGCUGAACUUAA
rnacentral:misc_RNA from 1 species